rnacentral:rRNA from 1 species
GAUGAACGCUAGCGGGAGGCCUAAUACAUGCAAGUCGAACGGUAAGGUCCCUUCGGGGAUACACGAGUGGCGGACGGGUGCGUAACGCGUACGAAACAUACCUUCAACAGGGAGAUACCUCCGGGAAACUGGAAAUAAUACCCCAUAGUAUUGAGAUAUCGCAUGAUAUUUCAAUUAAAGCUUUGGCGGUUGAAGAUUGUCGUGCGUCUGAUUAGCUAGUUGGUGAGGUAACGGCUCACCAAGGCGACGAUCAGUAGCUGGUCUGAGAGGAUGAUCAGCCACACUGGAACUGAGACACGGUCCAGACUCCUACGGGAGGCAGCAGUAGGGAAUAUUGGACAAUGGGCGGAAGCCUGAUCCAGCCAUCCCGCGUGUAGGAAUAAGGCCCUAU